GACGAACGCUGGCGGCGUGCUUAACACAUGCAAGUCGAACGAAGAGCGACGGAAGCUUGCUUCUAUCAAUCUUAGUGGCGAACGGGUGAGUAACGCGUAAUCAACCUGCCCUUCAGAGGGGGACAACAGUUGGAAACGACUGCUAAUACCGCAUACGAUCUAACCUCGGCAUCGAGGAUAGAUGAAAGGUGGCCUCUACAUGUAAGCUAUCACUGAAGGAGGGGAUUGCGUCUGAUUAGCUAGUUGGAGGGGUAACGGCCCACCAAGGCGAUGAUCAGUAGCCGGCCUGAGGGGAUGAACGGCCACAUUGGGACUGAGACACGGCCCAGACUCCUACGGGAGGCAGCAGUGGGGAAUCUUCCGCAAUGGACGAAAGUCUGACGGAGCAACGCCGCGUGAGUGAUGACGGCCUUCGGGUUGUAAAGCUCUGUUAAUCGGGACGAAAGGCCUUCUUGCGAAUAGUGAGAAGGAUUGACGGUACCGGAAUAGAAAGCCACGGCUAACUACGUG
rnacentral:rRNA from 1 species